rnacentral:sRNA from 1 species
GUCGAGCGGAUGAAGGUAGCUUGCUACCGGAUUCAGCGGCGGACGGGUGAGUAAUGCUUAGGAAUCUGCCUAUUAGUGGGGGACAACGUUCCGAAAGGAGCGCUAAUACCGCAUACGUCCUACGGGAGAAAGCAGGGGACCUUUGGGCCUUGCGCUAAUAGAUGAGCCUAAGUCGGAUUAGCUAGUUGGUAGGGUAAAGGCCUACCAAGGCGACGAUCUGUAGCGGGUCUGAGAGGAUGAUCCGCCACACUGGGACUGAGACACGGCCCAGACUCCUACGGGAGGCAGCAGUGGGGAAUAUUGGACAAUGGGGGGAACCCUGAUCCAGCCAUGCCGCGUGUGUGAAGAAGGCCUUUUGGUUGUAAAGCACUUUAAGCGAGGAGGAGGCUACCUAGAUUAAUACUUUAGGAUAGUGGACGUUACUCGCAGAAUAAGCACCGGCUAACUCUGUGCCAGCAGCCGCGGUAAUACAGAGGGUGCGAGCGUUAAUCGGAUUUACUGGGCGUAAAGCGUGCGUAGGCGGCCAAUUAAGUCAAAUGUGAAAUCCCCGAGCUUAACUUGGGAAUUGCAUUCGAUACUGGUUGGCUAGAGUAUGGGAGAGGAUGGUAGAAUUCCAGGUGUAGCGGUGAAAUGCGUAGAGAUCUGGAGGAAUACCGAUGGCGAAGGCAGCCAUCUGGCCUAAUACUGACGCUGAGGUACGAAAGCAUGGGGAGCAAACAGGAUUAGAUACCCUGGUAGUCCAUGCCGUAAACGAUGUCUACUAGCCGUUGGGGCCCUUGAGGCUUUAGUGGCGCAGCUAACGCGAUAAGUAGACCGCCUGGGGAGUACGGUCGCAAGACUAAAACUCAAAUGAAUUGACGGGGGCCCGCACAAGCGGUGGAGCAUGUGGUUUAAUUCGAUGCAACGCGAAGAACCUUACCUGGCCUUGACAUACAGAGAACUUCCAGAGAUGG